CGAGUACCUAAUCUUCCAGCUUUUGCAUUGGAGUGUCUUCCUAAUCGGAACUCUUUGGUUUAUGGGGAAUUUUAUGGCAUUGAGAGCGAAGCAACAACAAUAUUUCGUGGAACCCUCAGAUAUGAAGGAUUUAGUAUGAUAAUGGCAACACUUUCAAAACUCGGAUUCUUUGACAAUGAAGCCAA